rnacentral:lncRNA from 1 species
AGCGACUUUCCCGGCAAAAACAAAUAAGUUGACUUAAGGCAGGAUCCUUCCAUUGAGAUGAAUGUGGAUUCUGGAAACAAAUUUAUAAAAAUAAACUUAUUUUAAAAACCAGUAUAUUCUAGUAAUUAUACUUUUGAGGAGAAAACACUUGAACAUUCUAUAUUUUGGCUAUGUGACAUGGAGACAAAUUAGAAGCACAAAAAAAUUAAAGUUUCUUCAAGGUAGUUGGGUUCCCUGCAAAAGCGUUAAGGGUAAUUACCUAUUAAACUACACAUUGCAAAGUCUGAACCCAUGCAACCCAAGCUGAACCACAUACAUAUGUUUGCAUAUCUGUUCAGUUUUGCAUGAGAGUAUCAUUCACCGGUUUGCUCUACCAAACUUGUUACCCUGACCUGAGUGAAACAGUUUUGAGAAAGAUUUCCAUGCUGUGUGCACAAUGAGAUGAGAGCUGCACAGCAGUUAACUGGAAUUGCCAUCAACCAUACUCCAAGAGACAGAAUAGUACUUUUAAGGAGUAGCAAAAUAAUCGGGCUGUCACUUGACUAGACCAGUCAAAAAAGAGCAAAAUUUAGAAGACAAAAGUAGCACAUUUACCCCUGAAAACAUAACUUCCCUACCUACCAAAGGUUUUUAUCAGGAAAAAAAAAAAGAGCCAUUAAAAAAAUGCAAGAUUGCAGAGAAAAAAAAUUCCACUCUAUCCUCUUAAUGUAUUUCUAGGGAAUUAACAAGGUUUGUCUCCUACACAAUUUCUAUUUUUAGCUCUGACUGGCAGAGAAUGAAGCUGACUCCUUAAUGAGGGGUGAGCCAGGAAUUCAUUUGGCUUUAUCUAAUCUGCCCUGCUAAAGGAAUUAGUCACGGGAGGCAGUGCAGAUGUAGGUAGGGAGUAGCUGGGCUGACUGCUGACUCACAGGGAUCUCUUCCGCUGCUGGCAGUCCCCAGCAUGCUUAGACAUGUUCUGUACCACAGAAAAUCCUGGUGAUGAAACUAGCACAUCUCGGCUGAAAGUCCAGCCACACUCUAGUCGGACAAAGGCAGCCACCCUCCUGACCCCCACCUACCACAGAUCCACAAUCAGGCAACCCAGCCCUGACUCCCGUCCUUCCGGGGCUCUACCCUGCAGGCUGCAGUCCCCCAGUCCCUUACCGUCACCAGCACGCAGUGCAGGUCCGGGGGCUGCUCGGCGCCCUCGCUCCAAAACGCCUGGAUCAGGGUGAAGUGGAUCUGCAGAGCCACAUCUC